GCUGGGAGUUGUAGUCUGAAAAUGGAUGACUGCAGGAGUUUAAGGUGGACACUCCUGCCUUAGUACCUUGAUAAUUCAACUCAGACUCUUCUCUGUAUUCCCCCUUCAAUCAGUGAUUUCUUAUUCCUGCUGCAGGUGAUCAUUGGAGGGUAACCAAUCUGCAAUCAAUGGACUGUGAGAUGUGUAUAGCAGGACUUAAGGAAUGAAGAUCCAAAUCAUGGAAAGAUUCAUUAUCCGGAAAACCCGGAGGGGUUCUGGAUAACAGGUCCCAUACUAGUACUUUGAUUAUAUCAUUAUGAACAUCCUGGUGCACUGAAUGAAGACAGCGCCAUCUUGAUGACAUCGCUGCCAUUGUCAAGCUUCAUCCUUUGUCAUGGCACAAGUUGGAAGAUCCAUAACAUCAUCCUAAAUCUGUAAGCCUGAUGGCAGGGUCCACUUUCUCAAGACAUAGCAAGCAGUAGAGAUAUGACAUGUUUUUCUUAUGUAUAAAAGAACACAAGUAAAUAGACCUUUGAGGAUCUUCUUAACUUGAGCCCAUAUUACUUCAAUUCCAUCUGACUCAAGUAGGAAGGACUUUGCUGGCAGAGCCAUGUUUUAGGAGAUACAGUUCUGACUGUGUAAGCGUUCUAAACACUCAAUUCCAUAGUCAGAGCUGGAUUGUAUUGUCAGCCUAUUUUUUCAACGAGAAUUAGAUACAAAUUCCAAAUUAGUCUUCGUGACAUAACCCUCCCCACCAUCCAUUCCAUAUACUUUAAGAUUUAUGAUUUACAGAGAAUGACACAGGCUGCA